CCUACGGGAGGCUGCAGUGAGGAAUAUUGGUCAAUGGACGAGAGUCUGAACCAGCCAAGUAGCGUGAAGGAUGACUGCCCUAUGGGUUGUAAACUUCUUUUAUAUGGGAAUAAAAUGUUCCACGUGUGGGAUUUUGUAUAUACCAUAUGAAUAAGGAUCGGCUAACUCCGUGCCAGCAGCCGCGGUAAUACGGAGGAUCCGAGCGUUAUCCGGAUUUAUUGGGUUUAAAGGGAGCGUAGGUGGAUUGUUAAGUCAGUUGUGAAAGUUUGCGGAUCAACCGUAAAAUUGCAGUUGAAACUGGCAGUCUUGAGUACAGUAGAGGUGGGCGGAAUUCGUGGUGUAGCGGUGAAAUGCUUAGAUAUCACGAAGAACUCCGAUUGCGAAGGCAGUUCACUGGACUGCAACUGACACUGAGGCUCGAAAGUGUGGGUAUCAAACAGGAUUAGAUACCCCUGUAGUC
rnacentral:rRNA from 1 species